UACGAGGGGGGCAAGCGUUGUUCGGAAUUAUUGGGCGUAAAGGGUGCGUAGGCGGUCUGACAAGUCUGAUGUGAAAUCUAUGGGCUCAACCCAUAGCCUGCAUCGGAAACUGUCGGGCUUGAGUAUGGGAGAGGUGAGUGGAAUUCCGAGUGUAGAGGUGAAAUUCGUAGAUAUUCGGAAGAACACCAGUGGCGAAGGCGACUCACUGGACACGUAUUGACGCUGAGGUGCGAAAGCGUGGGGAGCAAACAGG
rnacentral:rRNA from 1 species